CAGUGACCAACGAGUAGCAGGCCGGACAUGCACACGGAUUGCAAAGAUUCUAUGAGAUUAACAUUUCAUCACUGAAAGAGUUAAUGUGAGAUGGACUAGCAUUCCAUCACUGAAAGGCUUAAAGCACAACUCACUAUCUUGCACUUUUCCAUGGAUUUACUUGCUGUGACCCUAAAGGUAGCAAGAUUUUGUCAUCAGCCUAUUUCCUGCAGUGACCAAGGAGUAGCAGGCUGGGCAGGCACCUACAGAGCAAAUAUAUGGAUAUAACCCCUUCUACCCUUCAUCGGUUUCAUCUAAACGGUAAGAGAUUCCUGCUACUCUGAAUUUCUAUCAAACGUAUUCCUAGGCUUCUGUGUCUUAUUCCAAGGCCUCUGUGUCUUUUAAUAUAUCCACUGGGUUACUUAUUCCUAGGCCUCUGCUGGGCCUUUUAAUAUAAGCACUGGAGUCACUUAUUCAGAGGCUUCUGUGUCUUUUAAUGUAUCCACUGGAUUACUUAUUCCUAGGCCUCUGCUGGGCCUUUUAAUAUAGCAGCUGGAUUAAUUUAUUCCUAGGCCACUGUCGGGCCUUUUAAUAUAGCCACCGGAGUCACUUAUUUCUAGACUUCUGUGUCUUUUAAUGUAUCCUCUGGAUUACUUAUUCCUAGGCCUCUGUUGGGGCUUUUAAUAUAGCAGCUGCAUUAAUUUAUUCCUAGGCCUCUGUUGGGCCUUUUAAUGUAUCCACUGGAUUACUUAUUCCUAGGCCUCCGCUGGGCCUUUUAAUAUAGCAGCUGCAUUAAUUUAUUCCUAGGCCACUGUUGGGCCUUUUAAUAUAGCCACUGGAGUCACUUAUUUCUAGACUUCUGUGUCUUUUAAUGUAUCCACUGAAUUACUUAUCUCUAGGCCUCUGUUGGGCCUUUUAACUGGAGUCACUUACUCAUAGGCUGAUGUGUCUUACUCCUAAGCCUCUGUAUCUUUUAAUACAGCCACUGGAGUCACCUUUUCCUAGGCAUUUGUUAUGCCUUUUAAUAUAGCAGGGAGCUUUUUCCUAGGCCUCUGUUGGGCCUUUUAUUUUAACCGCUGGAUUUACUUAUUCCUAGGCCUCUGUUAAACCUUUUAUUGCAGCUGUCUCACCUGAGUGUGGUGAGAUAGUUCAGUGGGCUAAUACUUCAUCAGAAGAAUCUGUUUGUCACUUGGGGCUCACCAGUUCAAUUCCCUGCAGGGCUGACUCAGUCCAUAAGAAAAUAAAUGUGUACACUUGGAAACCAGAAAAUAUCUGAAUGCCUCUUUCCUGGUUCAAGAUUUGCAAUAAUUGUUUCUAGUGCCUUUUAAUACAGCUGCUGGGUUCAGUUAUUCUAUGUGCUUUUUAAUUUCAUUAUUAUAUGCCUCCAUGUUGGUUUUAUGUAUUCACUAAAUUUAUUAUCCUAUUUCAAUGUCUCUGUACUUGGUAAUAGGCUAUUCGCUGUUCUGUUCCUCUAUCUCAGCCUUUCAACCUGUUUUAUUUUAAGUCCCUAAGUUUCCAUUCUUACUUUUGGGCCCAUUCAGGUUUUUACCUCUGCGUUUAAUCACCCGCAAAUACGCAGGUGCUAGUCCAGUGGUCGCGCCAUGCCAUUACCGCGCAUGCGCGGAAAUCUGAGUCGCUCCUGCGUAUUCUAAAAUGUAAGCCCAGUUGCAGUGGUUGCAGGGUCAUAUUGGCCUCCCCUUUUCAGCACAAUGUUUUCUUAUAGGUUUUUCCUAUAUUAAGUAAUUUGAUUUGUGUGCAGUUUCCAUCUUAAUUUGAAUUCUUCUUUUUGGUUUUGGUAAGUUUUUCUUUAUCGAAGGUAUAUUACUUAUUUUUCUGUAUCUAUCAAUCUCUACUUAUUUAGCAGAGAUUUUUCUUUGUAAAGGAUAAAAAGAAAUCUUAUGCAGUUAUGGAUUCAGAUCCCUCUGCUCCCAGAAAAAAGGUCACACUCUAAGAGACAUAGGUAAGCCAUUCUAUUUUUUCUGUCAUUACUAAACAAAAGAGUGCCUAUCAAUAAUUGGAAUUCCCUAUGAUGAUAGCUCUACGGAAAGAAAAUAAUCCGGAUCAUACAAGGGAAGUCACACUAAAGAAUUGUUUGUGAGGCAUAUGAUAAGAGAUCCUUGUAAAAGUAAAGUCUCUGCACAGGCUGUCUGAAAGUGGCUACAGGCCCAUCUACCCAUUCCCCGUGUAUUACACAAUAUUAACAGGAGGUAUCUCAAGACGUCAUAGAAGCUGUUAAAGCUUGGAUCCUCUGGACAAUUCCCAGAAUGAAUACUCUUAGGAAUCCUGGGAGAUGGAUCCAUUCAGAGAUAUGAAAUCAUCAGAUGAGGAUAUUCAGUCUAUUUCAGUAGUUCCAGAAUCCGUUCAUUUGAUUUCCAGAGUCCUCUUACCUCUAGCCUUUCUUUUCGGAUGUCAGAAGGUGUAGAGUAUCUUUUCCAGUUUCCGGUCCCCUUAAGAUCCUUAAUGGAGUAAUGGGUCUACACUGAGAGAGGUUUUGAACACAAGGGAGUAUCUCAGUCUUCAUCUAUUGGAAUUUCAGACACUAGUACCUGGGACUCUGCUCCUAAGUAGUAGAUGCAGUCCUUAGACUGGCUAAAUGUUCCUCUCUGCCUGUAAACAAUGCGGGAUCUCUCUGAAACUCCACGGAGUAUACAUGGUUCUGCUCCUCUCUAAAGCCUAUGUGGCAGCUGGCACAGGCUUUCAUCUUGCUGUAAGGUUUUACCCCAAUCUCUAAGGAUCUAAUAUUGGUAUGGAUAAAUUGGAGGAGCAUAUCAGAGAUAAAUUUCCUUUGUCUCUUGUCAAUUUACAAGUCAUUAACCGGGAAUAGUCUUCAGCUAAGAAGCCUACAUAGGUCGCAUUAUAUUAUAGCCAGAAAUAUGACUUUCUUUGUGUCUUUUAGCUGGGCUCUUUUGCUUAAUACCUGGUCCACGGAUGCAUCCUCCUAUAUUAAUGGAUCAACAGAACGGCAGAGGGCAAGAAAGCUUGUCUACUUCAAGACCUAAGGUUUGGGAGACCCUUUCGAUAUAAAGAUUCUCACUAACUUCCUUCUCAGACCAAGGUAUUUCACACCAUGAAGGGAGUAUGGUAGAUCUCAAACUUGAUGUAAGUGGUUAUUAUUCUACCAGAUGAAGAGAAAAGGUAAAAAGAUGCUUUGUAAAUCUCAUGGCUUCCCUUCAAUUAGAGAAAGCUAUUGUGAGAAUGUUUUAAAAAGCAACUAGAACACAAAGAAUCUGUUUCUAACAGGUGUUGGAGAUCCAUUCUAAUUUACAGGAUUCUUGUAGUUCCUAUUUAUAAAGGUAGUAUUCCUAGUACAUUGGAUAAUGUCUAUAGAUUUGCAGGAUGCUUAUUGCCAUGUAUCCUUUGCCUCACAUCACUUUUAUUUUUACAUCUUCAUGAUGAAAGAUGAAUGUCUGCUAUAGUCACCUUGUUCCCUCCCAGUUCAGGGUAUAGCUGGGAAUACAGUUCGACAUGGUCCAUGGCUCAGUACAGAUCUUUUCAGACUAGCAUAUUACCCCAACAGAGAGAGUUUUGAUCCAGGUCCUCCACCAUAGAUCUGAUAGGAUGUCACAAGGGCGGAGGUUAACUUACCUAUGGAAAUCCUUUGGACAGUGAUAACCAUGAAUACCAUCCACUGGCGUUGAGGAACUUUUCUCCAAAUUCAAAUAUGUUCAAAAAAGGGACUCCCUUAACAUCCAACAUUUCUCUUCUGCAUAGGGUGCAAGAGCCAAUAUCAAUCAUCCUGACAGUUCCAUAUUAAUACCCAGUCCAUGGUUUCCACUUCUACUUAUCUUCUUCAGUACCUCCAAGGGAUCUCCCAAAAUAGUUCUUCCCUCUUCCAUCAGGUCCAGUGCUACUUUCCUCAUUCUGGAGGUUUCGAUAAUGUAGAAAAGCUUAAAUAUAAGUUGUUGUUUUUUUUUUUAACUACAGUAAUUAAUACCCUUCUGAGGGCCAUGGGAAAACUUAUAUGCCUGGCUACCUUUACAUAGUUGAAAUGCCUUUUUUCAUGGUCUAUUUCUAAUUCUAAGGCUCUAAAUUCUUCAAUCCAGGACUUAUCUAGGAAUUGGCCACAUCACCUCAGAGAUAUGUCUCAGCACUCUCUGAUCUCUCUUUCUGGAUUUCUUCUGUUUAUCUUUACUAAUAGACCAUAAAGAUCUUCAAGCCUCUAUAUAAGCCUUCAACAGAUGGGUAGUCUUGACUGUUUUUUAGGCUACUAAGCCCUAUGGAUUACAGUACUUAAAGGUAUGUUUGCUCUAGAGCCAUUUCUUGCUCUAGAGCUAUUUCUCCCUCUUGAGCAUCGGUGGCCAAGCUUCCCUGGAACUUGUAGGUAAAUGGCUGCUUGAUCCUCAAUCAAUUUUCAGACAUUUUUUUUUUGGUACAUUUUGAGUUGGUCAUUUUGAUAAUGUGCCAUUAGUGGGCAAUCAGUUUUUCAUGUCCUUAUUUGCAUUCAUAUUUUGGAAGUCUUGUGUUCUGCUUUCCCUCCCUUGGUUAUUGCUUGGGUAUUACCCAUUGUUGUGCUGCCAUGGAUAUGGCCAGGAAAAAGGAAAAUUUAUUCCUACUUACCGUAAUUUUCUUUUCCUGGUCAUAGGCCAUGGCAGCACAAAUAUCCCGCCCUGGGAUAUUGCUGGAAACAAGACUGAGGGUGGGAGGGGUAGGAGGGGUUACUUAUACCUUCUGUUUUAAUUAGGUUCCUGUCUGGUUAGGGAUAGGGAGGAGCUACCCAUUGUUGUGCUGCCAUGGCCUAUGACCAGGAAAAGAAAAUUACGGUAAGUAGGAAUAAAUUUUCCUUUAUAUAUGUGUGUGUGUGUAUAUAUGUGUGUGUGUAUAUAUGUUGUGGCAAACCUAGCCACUUGGGACUGCCUAAGAUAGAAUGGUUGUGCCUAUUUUCUGUUGUGUACUGCACGCCGGUAUAGUGUGGCGUCUCCGGCUAUGUUUAAUUUAUGCUGUACUGUGUAUGUCUGUUCGAAUCCUCCCCAUUCGUUAGCAUUGCUAUUAAAACUGACUAAGUUGUAUAUUUUGAAGUAGAAAGGUAACGGUUUAUGUCCUCGUAGUUUUCAUUACUGUAUGUUACAGCAGGGGCUGUUGGGAGGAGGACCUGGAAACGGUAGUCUCCCUCCAGUCCCCUCAACCAAAACCCCUGCUGCCCAUCUUUGGAAACCCCUGUUGAGUGACCUGCUUUAAAUAUCAGUUAUUUUUAAUAAAGUGACAGUUGAGUGACCUGCUUUAAAUAUCAGUCUUUUUGAAUAAAGUGGCAGUUGACUCUCAGACUGUGUUUCGUCUGGUUCUUGGGAGGAUUUGGGAAUAUUGCCUGCUUCCAGCUUUGUACUUGGUUAUUGCAUUCUACCAGCAGAGAUCCUGGGAUUAUAAAAUUGCAGCUCCGCAACAUAUAUAUAAUAUAUGUGUGUAUAUAUAUAUAUAUAUAUAAUAUGUGUGUGUAUAUAUAUAUAUAUAUAUAUAUAUAUAUAUAUAUAUAUAUAUAUAUAUAUAUAUAUAUAUAUAUAUAUAUAUAUAUAUAUAUAUAACAAGCAGAAAAUGGCCAGCACUCACGGUUUUAAAUAGAAGUUUAAAAUCCAGAACUUUAUUUAAACAUUUUUAAAAAUGUAGCAGCUAUAGUAGUGAGCUGCUACAUUUUUAAAGAUGUUUAAAUAAAGUUCUGGAUUUUAACUUCUAUUUAAAACCGUGAGUGCUGGCCAUUUUCUGCUUGUUUAUAUCUCCAUUCGCCCUGGAUUACAAGCACCCGAUGGGCCGAAUGGUUCUUAUCUGCCGUCACAUUCUAUGUUUCUAUGUUUCACCCGGAUAUUAUUAUUGUUUAGUCUGUGUGCAAGGACUACGAGCUUUUUUUUUUUUUUUUUUUUUUUCUCUCUCUCUCUCUCUCUCUCUCUCUCUCUCUCUCUCUCUCUCUCUCUCUCUCUCUCUCUCUCUCUCUCUCUCUCUCUCUCUCUCUCUCUCUCUCUCUCUCUCUCUCUCUCUCUCUCUCUCUCUCUCUCUCUCUCUCUCUCUCUCUCUCUCUCUCUCUCUCUCUCUCUCUCUCUCUCUCUCUCUCUCUCUCUCUCUCUAUAUAUAUAUAUAUAUAUAUAUAUAUAUAUAUAUAUAUCUCAGCAUAUGGUGAUUAGCACUCUCGGAUUUCCAAAAAUCUGAUUAAAAGAUAAAGUUUAUUAAUCCAUAUAUAAGGCUAUAUCGAUGUGUCAGUCCUCUAGUGGGACUUUCUAUAUAUAUAUGUGUGUGUGUAUAUAUACACACACACAUAUAGUGGUCUAACUGGCUGGCUUUUACAUCAAUCUGGUAAUGUCUUAUGAAAGUGUUCGUGGAGGACCUAGUGGCUGCUUUUCAAAUCCGUUCUGGAGAAACUUUAGCUGCUGCUGCCCAAGAAGAGGAAAGGGACCUUGUAGAAUGAGCCUUGAGACCUUCUGGGACCUUUAUGUUAGAUAGCUUGUAUGAUGGCUGCUACGAUCCACCUGCUGAUGGCUACUUUAGAAGCUUCUGGGACCGUUAGGAAUGAGGAAUAGUCUUUGAGAAGUACGCCAAGCAGAUGAUCUUUGUAAAUAAAUAGACAGACAUCUUACCAGAUCUAAGGAAGAAGACUUGGGUUCUAACUCACUGUCCGUUUCUUCCGACUGAAGAGCUGGGAGUACUAUCUCCUCGUUGAUGUGAAAGGCUGAGACCACCUUAGGUCGAAAUUUGGGGAUAGUUCUCAGGAUUACUCUGUCUUUGUGAAACACUGUAAAGGGCUCUUUGGCUGAUAGGGCAUGGAGCUCAGACACCCUUCUACCUGAGGUUAGGGCUACCAACAGAACUGUUUUUAUGGUCAGAAAAUGAGGAGAGAUGGAUUCUAGUGGUUCAAAGGGAGGACCGCUCAGAGCUUUUAAUACCAGCGGUAGGUCCCAUGGCGGAGCAAAUGGCUUGAUAGGAGGCUUUAUCUUUAAUACCGCUGACAUGAACCUGGUCACAUCCUUGUCCAAAGCCCAUCUGUGAUCCAUUAGGGCUGAAAGAGCCAAAAUAUUAACUUUAAGGGUGUUGUAACUUAACCCUUUGUCAGUACCUAGUUGUAGGAAUUCCAGAACAUCUGUAGUAGAGAUUGAAUGUGUAUUAAUUUGUUUAGAUGUAGCCCAGGAGAAGAUGAUGUCCCAGAUUCUGUAGUUUGUGGUGGACAUAGAGCGCUUCCUUGCUUGUAGUAGAGUGUCUAUUACUGCCUGUGAGAAUCCUUUUGCUUUUAGCCCUUCUCUUUCAACUUCCAUGCCAUCAGAUUGAGAGAUACUGGGUCUGGGUGGAGAACUGGGCCUUGAUGUAGAAGCGAAGGAAUCUUUGGAAGCUGCCAAGGGUCUGAUUUGCAAAGGCUCAAUAGUAGGGGAAACCAAGGUCUGCGUGGCCAAAAGGGGGCUAUGAGAAUGAUGGAUACUUACUCUUGUCUCAACUGUCUCAGAAGUGGAAAGAUGAGUGGAGUAGGAGGGAAUGCGUUACCUAGGUUAAAUAGACGCUCGAUAGAGCAUCUCUUCCUAUAGCCAGAGGAUCGAUAUUCUUUGAGAAGAAGUCUCUCACUUUCCUGUUCUUGUUUGUUGCCAUCAGGUCUAUUUGUGGCAUGCCCAUAUUUGUGUUAUCUUCUCGAAUAUAUUGUCUGACAAGUUCCAUUCUCCUGGGUCUAUUUCCAGUCUGCUCAGGAAGUCUAUGGAAUUCUGGAUCCCAGGAAGAUGUACAGCUGAUAUACCUGUUAGAUGUGUUUGCGUAAAGGCCAUCAGGGAUUUCAUUAUUGACAUCAUCUUUUGACUCCUGGUUCCUCCUUGAUGUUUUAUGUAGGCCACUAUGGUGGCGUUGUCUGUUCUGAUUUUGACCCACUUGAAACAGAUAAGAGGGAGAAAGUAUUUCAGAGCUCUGUGAACUGCCAUCAGCUCUAAAAGAUUGGACAAAGUGUCUGUUGUUGAAAAGGGCCAUUUUCCUUGUAUGAAGUGGUCUUGCAGGUGAGCUCCCCAUAGACGGUCAUCCGUGGUUACAGCAGUCCAUGUGAUGUUCCCUUAGGAGAAUCCUCUGAACACGAACUUCUUUUGUAACCACCACAUCAGGGAUUGAUGGACCUGAGGAGGAAUCUUGAUAGGCUGUCGUGGGUUUCCUGUUCUGAAUUGGAAGAUGAAAUUCUCCUGGAAUCUCCUCAUCAUCCAUUGGGCCCAUCUUGUUAGCCCUAUUGUUGAGGACAUUGACCCUAGAAGACUCAUGCAUUUCUCUGCUGAAGUCACAUUGAAUGUCAACAUUUCUUUGAAUUUUCUCAUUAAUUUUGUACCUCUUUCUUGAGACAGUCGUACUGUGUCUUCUAGAGUAUUGAACAUGGCUCCCAAAUAUUUCAUCCACUAGGUUGGCUGUAAAUGACUCUUUUUCUCGUUUAUCAACCAUCCAUGAAGACGUAGGAAAUGCAUACAGAUUUGGCCAUGGGCUUGAAGGGUAUCUCUGUCUUCUGCUAAUAUAAGGAUGUUGUCCAAGUAAUGGUAAAUGGCUAUGCCCUUCUUCCUGAGUUCCGUAAUUAAGACGACUAAGACCUUAGAGAAUGUUCUUAGAGCUGUGCUGAGACCGAAUGGCAGGGCCCGGAAUUGAAAAUGCCCUUUUUCUACCGUAAAGCAAAGGAACCUUUUGAUGUUCUAUUGCUAUGGGGAUAUGAAAAUAGGCGUCUGCCAAGUCUAUAGAAAUCAUCCAUUGGUCUGGAAAAACUGUCUUUAUGAUGGAUUGGAUAGACUCCAUCUUGAAUUUCCAGAUGUGUAGGUAUUGAUUUAACUUGCUUAGGUCUAGGAUAGGCCGCCGUCCGCCUGAAGCUUUUUUGGUGAGGAACAGAUGAGAAUAGAACUCUUGACCCUGUAGAUUCCAAGGAACUGGAAUGAUGACUUUUUCAUCAGUAGAGUGUAGAGACAAAUUUCUUUACAGCUUGUCUUUUUUUCUUCCUCGCCUGGCCAUUUUGUUGUUUGAAAGGAAUGGAGAACUGUAAACAACAUCCUCUUCUUAUGAUAUCCAAUACCCAUCUGUCUGUGGUGGAUUGAUUCCAUGCGUCUGGGUAUAGUAACAGAUGUGCCCCCACUCCUACUGACUGGGGGGAAAGGGGCCCUUCAUAAGGAUCUGGGAUUCUGGUGGAAUGAAGCCCCCUUUGACUUUCCACCUCUUGCAGAUAACUGACCUCCUCUCCAUGGCUGGGAUCUUCCAUGUUCUCUUCCUGGCUUGUAUGAUCUUGAAUCUCGAAAGGAAGAGUAGUCAGGGUAUCUUUUUGUACCUAAAUGAUCCUCUAGGUUUACGAUCUUGUGGGAGAAAUGCUCUUUUUCCUUCGGCUGCUCUCUUGAUACAUUCAUCCAAUUUUUUCCCAAACAACAUGUCUCCUUGGAAUGGUAAGGCACGUAAACUGGCUUUGGAAGAAUUGUCUGCUGCCCAGGAUCUUAACCAUACGGCCCUUCUGGCUGAAAUGGAGAGAGACAUAUUUCUGGCUAAAGCCUUAACCAGGUCUACUGAGGCAUCAGAAGNNNNNNNNNNNNNNNNNNNNNNNNNNNNNNNNNNNNNNNNNNNNNNNNNNNNNNNNNNNNNNNNNNNNNNNNNNNNNNNNNNNNNNNNNNNNNNNNNNNNUGUGGCAAACCUAGCCACUUGGGACUGCCUAAGAUAGAAUGGUUGUGCCUAUUUUCUGUUGUGUACCGGUAUAGUGUGGCGUCUCCGGCUAUGUUUAAUUUAUGCUGUACUGUGUAUGUCUGUUCGAAUCCUCCCCAUUCGUUAGCAUUGCUAUUAAAACUGACUAAGUUGUAUAUUUUGAAGUUGAAAGGUAACGGUUUAUGUCCUCGUAGUUUUCAUUACUGUAUGUUACAGCAGGGGCUGUUGGGAGGAGGACCUGGAAACGGUAGUCUCCCUCCAGUCCCCGCAACCAAAACCCCUGCUGCCCAUCUUUGGAAACCCCUGUUGAGUGACCUGCUUUAAAUAUCAGUUAUUUUUAAUAAAGUGACAGUUGAGUGACCUGCUUUAUAUAUCAGUCUUUUUGAAUAAAGUGGCAGUUGACUCUCAGACUGUGUUUCGUCUGGUUCUUGGGAGGAUUUGGGAAUAUUGCCUGCUUCCAGCUUUGUACUUGGUUAUUGCAUUCUACCAGCAGAGAUCCUGGGAUUAUAAAAUUGCAGCUCUGCAACAAUUGGUGGCAAGCGGCGGGAUCCAACCGUACAGCAGGAAAAACGCUGUUUAUACAAUUGGAAUUGACAUACUGGAAAGCAGAAGGCAAUUGAUACAGAUGCAGAAGUGAAUGGGGACGGACUACACCAUAUUGAAACGGCAAAAACGUUAAAGGAGCUGUAUAUGUGUAUAUGUAUAUAUAUAUGUGUAUAUGUAUAUAUAUAUGUGUAUAUGUAUAUAUAUAUGUAUAUAUGUAUAUAUAUAUGUGUAUGUAUAUAUGUGUGUGUGUGUAUAUGUGUGUGUAUAUAUAUAUAUGUGUGUGUGUGUGUAUAUAUAUAUAUAUAUAUAUAUAUAUAUGUACAGUUGCAAGAAAAAGUAUGUGAACCCUUUUGGAAUGAUAUGGAUUUCUGUACAAAUUGGUCAUAAAAUGUGAUCUAAUCAUCAUCUAAGUCACAACAACCGACAAUCAUAGUCUGCUUAAACUAAUAAAACACAAAAAAUGAAAUGUUGCCAUGUUUUUACUAAACACACCAUGUAAACAUUCACAGUGCAGGUGGAAAAGGUAUGUGAACCCCUAGACUAAUGACAUCUCCAAGAGCUAAUUGGAGUGAGAUAUCAGCCAACUGGAGUCCAAUCAAUGAGAUGAGAUUGGAGGUGUUGGUUACAGCUGCUCUGCCCUAUAAAAAACACACACCAGUUCUGGGUUUGCUUUUCACAAGAAGCAUUGCCUUAUGGAAUGAUGACUCGCACAAAAGAGCUCUCAGAAGAUCUACAAUUAAGAAUUGUUGACUUGCAUAAAGCUGGAAAGGGUUAUAAAAGUAUCUCCAAAAGCCUUCCUGUUCAUCAGUCCACGGUAAGACAUAUUGUCUAUAAAUGGAGAAAGUUCAGCACUGUCGCUACUCUCCCUAGGAGUGGCCGUCUUGUAAAGAUGACUGGAAGAGCACAGCGCAGACUGCUCAAUGAGGUGAAGAAGAAUCCUAGAGUGUCAGCUUAAGACUUACAAACGUCACUGGCAAAUGCUAACAUCCCUGUUAGCGAAUCUACAAUACGUAAAACACUAAACAAGAAUGGAUUUCAUGGGAGGAUACCACAGAGGAAGCCACUGCUGUUCAAACAAAACAUUGCUGCACGUUUACAGUUUGCACAAGAGCACCUGGAUGUUCCACAGCAGUACUGGCAAAAUAUUCUGUGGACAGAUGAAACCAAAGUUGAGUUGUUUGGAAGAAACACACAACACUAUGUGUGGCGAAAAAAAGGCACAGCACACCAACAUCAAAACCUCAUCCCAACUGUGAAGUAUGGUGGUGGGGGCAUCAUGGUUUGGGACUGCUUUGCUGCGUCGGGGCUUGGACGGAUUGCGAUCAUCGAAGGAAAAAUUAAUUUCCAAGUUUAUCAAGACAUUUUGCAGGAGAACUUAAGGCCAUCUGUCUACCAGCUGAAGCUCAACAGAAGAGGGGUGUUGCAACAGGAAAGAAACUUUUUUUAGAUUUGUAAAUUAUCUGGUGAACAAACUCAGGCCGGAACUGCUGCAAAGCCACUGCUGCAGAGACAUACUAGGAAUGGCAGUUGGAUUAUUGUAGGAUCUGGUAGACUUAGAGUUUAGGGAUCGACCGAUAUUGAUUUUUUAGAGCCGAUACCGAUACCGAUAUUCUGUGAACUUUCAGGCCGAUAGCCGAUAUAAUUUGCCGAUAUUCUGUACAUUUACCAUUUUGGAAAAUAAAAACUAUUUCUAAAGGUAAAUGCACAAAAUAUACAUGCCACGUGUAGUGGAUGCAGUGUGACAGGGGAGCUGUAUGUGUGUGUGUGUAGUGGAUGCAGUGUGUGUCUUUGUGUAGUGUGUGUGUAGUGGAUGCAGUGUGUGUCUUUGUGUAGUGUGUGUGUGUAGUGGAUGCAGUGUGUGUUUGUGUAGUGUGUGGGUUGUGGAUGCAGUGUGUGUUUGUGUAGUGUGUGGGUUGUGGAUGCAGUGUGUGUUUGUGUAGUGUGUGUGGAGGAUGCAAUGUGUGUUUGUGUAGUGGAUGCAGUGUGUAUUUGUUUAGCGUGUGUAGUGGAUGCAGUUUGUAUUUGUUUAGUGUGUGUAGUGGAUGCAGUGUGUAUUAGUGUAGUGUGUAUAUAAUGAAAGCAGAGUGUUUGUGUAGUGUGCGUAAAGUGAAUGCUGUAUAUACUAAAUGCAAAGUGUGUGUGUAUAUAAUGAAUGCAGAGUGUGUGUAUUUGUGUAGUGUGUGUGUAUAGUGAAUGUAGUGUGUGUUUGUAUAGUGUGUGUAUAUAAUGCAGUGUGUUUGUGUAGUGUGCAUUAUAUAAACACACUACGCAAAUACACUGCAUUAUAUACACACACUAUGCAAACACACUGCAUUAUAUACACAAACUACACACAAACACUGCAUUAUAUAAACACUACACAAACACACACACACUGCACAAACACACACUGCACAAACACACACUGAAUUAUAUAAACACACUACACAAAUACACUGCAUUAUAUACACACACUACACAAAUACACUGCAUUAUAUACACACACUACACAAAUACACUGCAUUAUAUACACACACUACACAAAUACACACUGCAUUAUAUACACAGUGUGUUUGUAUAGUGUGUGUAUAUAAUGCAGUUUGUGUGUGUUUGUAUAGUGUGUGUAUAUAAUGCAGUUUGUGUGUGUGUAUAUAAUGCAGUUUGUGUGUGUUUGUAUAGUGUGUGUAUAUAAUGCAGUUUGUGUGUGUUUGUAUAGUGUGUGUAUAUAAUGCAGUUUGUGUGUGUUUGUAUAGUGUGUGUAUAUAAUGCAGUUUGUGUGUGUGUAUAUAAUGCAGUUAGAGUGUGUUUGUAUAGUGUGUGUAUAUAAUGCAGUGUAUUUGUGUGCAUUGUAUACAAACACACACUAUACAAACACACACUGCAUUAUAUACACAGUGUGUUUGUGUAGUGUCUGUGUAUAUAAUGGAGUGUGUGAGGGGGAAUUUUUUAUUAAAUUAUUUUUAUAUAUAUAUAUUUAAUUAUUAUUUUUUGUCCCCCCUCCCUGCUUGUUACCUGGCCAGGGAGGGGGGAUAUGACAGUCCCUGGUGGUCCAGUGGUAUUGCUGAGCUGGGGGGGGGCAGAGAGCAAGCGCUUACUCACCUCCCAGCAGCUCCUCCAGCUCCCCAGUGUAACUCUCGCGGCCAGCGUGUCGCGCGGAGCGUUGCCAUGGUGAUCCAUGGCAACGCUCUGACGGCCGCGGGUCUCGCGAGAGUUGCACUGGGGAGCUGGAGGAGCUGCUGGGAGGUGAGUAAGCGCUUGAUGCCCGCUCCCCCCCAGGACCGCCGGGCUUGUAAUGAGCCUGGCGGUCCUAGGAGGUAUUAUCGGCAAUAUCGGUAUCUGAAUUGGCCGAUACCGAUAUUGCCUAAAAUACCGAAUAUCGGCCGAUUAUAUCGGUAAAACCGAUAAUCGGUCGAUCCCUAUUAGAGUUGUGGAUAAAAGGCAUAUUGCACAGUCUGUUGCUCUAAAUAAUUCAUUUUCUGCACUUUCAGAGUGUAAUGGUGUUGUGGAGAGAGGCACUGAGGCUAGUGGUGUUGUGGAGAGAGGCACUGAGGCUAGUGGUGGUGUGGAGAGAGGCACUGAGGCGAGUGGUGUUGUGGAGAGGGGCACUGAGGCGAGUGGUGUUGUGGAGAAGGGCACUGAGGCGAGUGGUGGUGUGGGGAGGGGCACUGAGGCUAGUGGUGGUGUGGGGAGGGGCACUGAGGCUAGUGGUGGUGUGGGGAGGGGCACUGAGGCUAGUGGUGGUGUGGGGAGGGGCACUGAGGCUAGUGGUGGUGUGGGGAGGGGCACUGAGGCUAGUGGUGGUGUGGAGAGGGGCACUGAGGCUAGUGGUUGUGUGGAGAGGGGCACUGAGGCUAGUGGUGGUGUGGAGAGGGGCACUGAGGCUAGUGGUGGUGUGGAGAGGGGCACUGAGGCUAGUGGUGUUGUGGAGACCGGCUUGGAGACUAUGGUGAGGCCUAAUAGAAAGCAGUUGUUGUUGGGGAUUUCCAUCAUAAGAGGUGUGGAGAUGAACAAUGGUGGUCUUGUGAGGUGUCUUCCCGGAGCUACUGCUCACAGAGACAGGAGACGUAUCUGUAAUAUUGUUAAGCAAGCAAAGCAGGAAGGGGAAUUGGAUGUACUUGUCCAUCUAGGGACAAAUGACUUGGCUUUCAGUGAGGUUUCAGAGGUUAAGGAAGUUUUUAGUGUUUUUGCCAGUGAUAUACGGCAGGUUGAUUCCACACGGUCACUCUCUGAAGUUCUGCCUGUGCAUAACACUCAGAACGACAGGCGGAUGUGUAUUAGGGACUUUAAUUUGUGGCUUGGUGAAUGGUGUCGUGAGCAAGGAUUUGGCUUUAUUUCUCAUGGUAGCUCUGUUUGGAAUGGAAAUAACCUGUACAAAAAAUAUGGUUUUGCCAGAGUUUUUGGUAUACACCACUGCCAAAAUUACAAAAGUAAUUACUACUUUUACUCUUACAUUUUACACAGUGCUUUUUUCCCUCCUCUUUUCCCUUUUAUUACUAACACCAAAAACAAUGCUGUAUUAGGUGCCAAUUUUUAUUAAAUGUCACCAUCAAAAGAAAUUCCUUUUCCUGCCUGCUUCUUUACCUUCCUUAUAGUAUAUCACUAUAUCAAGGAUCUCAUUUUCCUUUUUUUUUAAAUUUUCUCCUUCCCUUACUUAUUUUCUUCUUUUAUUUUAUAAGAUAACAAAACAUUAAUUUAUGAGCCAGACUAAACACUGCUCACUCUCCUCCUUUAUUUUAUCAAUUUUUCUCUAUUUUUCAUCCCUUUUUUUUUGUUUAUCUUUUCCUUUUUAUCUCCUUUCUUUUACCUUCCUGAGGUACAAAAGUAAGGCUGAGCUAGUAAACCAACUUAUUAUUAGCCAACAAUUCACUUUCUCCUGCCUAUAACUUUUCUUUUGCAACUGCUCUGCUCCGUUUCUGCCUGUCUCUGCUGUCUGUUUCCACUCCUCCCCUUCCUCUUCCCACGUAUUUGCGUGCGCUCGCCCCCGCCCGACACCUUCUCGCACAAAAGGAGGUUGAUUGAUGUGUGCGCUUGCGCCGCCUGCCCACUCGCUCAAAAGGAGGUUUUAACUUCCGAAAAUCCUACCGCACGCAUUCUCGCGCACGUUGGUUUCUUGAUGUGUACACUCGCACCCGCUCGCUCAAAAGGAGGUUUUGACCUCCAAAGUCCCUACCGCCCACCUGGAAUCCCGAAACGCCCACUAGUGGGCGGUAGGGACCAGGUUGACGACCCAUGGAUUAGGGAAUAAGAUCCAUGAACUUGUGGCAAUAAUGGCAACUGAUAGUGUAGAUUUAGUCGCUGUUACUGAGACAUGGUAUAAUGAGAAAAAUGACUGGGACAUAGCAAUACCAGGGUACUCUUUAUAUAGAAAAGAUAGGGAAGGUAAGAAAGGGGGAGGGGUGGCCCUGUAUGUGAAGGAUAGCAUAAAAUCUAGCCUAAUAAAAGUUAGUGAGGCGAACAUAGUCCGUUUGGGUUACAUUAGAAUUUGGUAAUCACACAGUAACUCGUGUAGGUGGGAUUUAUAGGCCCCCAGGACAAAUUGAAGAGUUAGAUAAUCUACUAGUUGAGGAAAUAGCUAAAAUGACAAUAAAGGGGGAAGUUAUCAUCAUGAGUGACUUUAAUCUUCCUGAUGUAAAUUGGAAAACAAAAAUAGCUACUUGUGCCAGGAGCACACAUAUUCUAAACUCCCUACUGGGAUUGUCUCUAAAACAAGUUGUUGAGGAGCCAACUCGUAAAGAGGCCAUACUAGAUUUAGUGUUAACAAAUGGAGAUUUGGUAUCAGAUGUUACUGUAGGUGAAAGUUUAGGAUCCAGUGAUCAUCAGUCAGUAUGGUUUAAUAUAAGAACAGUGACUGAGUCACACCACACAAAAACAAAAGUUUUAGACUUUAGAAAAACAGACUUUUCUAAAAUUAGAAUAUGGGUAGAGGAGUCCUUAUCAGACUGGAGCAAUUUAAAUUAAGUCCCAGAGAAAUGGGAUUAUUUAAAAGUUGCACUAUUGAAGGCAACAGAAAAUUGCAUUAAGCAACCACUGUGGUACUCCGCAGAUGUGGCCAAAAUAGUUAAAAACAAAAAGUUAGCAUUUAGUAAUUAUAAAAAAACCCAGAGUGAGGAAGACAAAAUGUUCUAUAAGAUUAGGCAGAAAGAGGCUAAGCAAGUUAUAAGAGCUUCCAAAUCACACACAGAAGAGAAAAUAGCACAAUCAGUAAAAAAGGGGGACCAAACUUUUUUUAGAUACAUCAAUGAGAAAAGUAAAACAAGGAUUAGUUAGAUUAAAAACAAAAGGAGGGUAUGUAGAAGAGGAUAUAGGUCUAGCUGAUUGCCUCAAUGAAUAUUUUUGUUCUGUAUUUACAGAUGAAAAUGAAGGAAAGGUACCUCGGUUAAGGAAAAGGAUAAAUGUGUCAUUUAUUACACGUGAGUUUACAGAGGAAGAAGUUCUAUUUCAACUGUCAAAAGUAAAGACAAGUCAAUGGGACCUGAUGGAAUACACCCAAAGCUAUUAAAAGAGCUUAGUGGUGUACUAGCAAAACCAUUAACAGAUUUAUUUAACCAAUCAUUGUUAACAGGAGUAGUCCCAGAAGAUUGGAAGUUAGCGAAUGUUGUGCCCAUUCACAAGAUAGGUAGUCGGGAGGAGUCUGGUAACUAUAGGCCAGUAAGCCUUACUUCAGUAGUGGGGAAAGCGAUGGAAACUAUGUUAAAGGAUAUGAUUGUAAAAUAUCUAAAAUCACAUGGAUUUCAAGAUCGGAGACAACAUGGGUUUACCUUAGGGAGAUCAUGCCAAAUUAAUCUUAUUGAUUUUUUUUUGAUUGGGUAACUAAAAUAAUAGAUCAGGGUGGUGCAGUAAGCAUUGCUUACCUAGAUUUCAGUAAGGCUUUUGACACUGUUGCACAUAGAAGCCUUAUCUAUAAACUGCAAUCUUUAAGUUUGGAUUCCAAUAUUGUUGAAUUGGUAAGGCAGUGGCUGAGUGACAGGCAACAGAGGGUUGUAGUCAAUGGAGUAUAUUCAAAGCAUAGGUUUGUCACCAGUGGGGUACCUCAGGGAUCUGUAAUUGGACCCAUUCUCUUUAAUAUUUUUAUUAGUGAUAUUGCAGAAUGUCUUGAUGGUAAGGUAUGUCUUUUGGCUGAUGAUACUAAGAUAUGUGUAACUGCCACCCUGGGUAUCAGAGGGGUGUAUGCCAUUGUAGAUGUCCUUUUCCCUUGAGAGAAGCUGUGAUGCAAUAUUCUCCAGAUGUCCCAUCAGCUGAACCAGUAGUGAAAGAAUAGCAGAGCUCUUAUAAGAGCUAAAGAUUAGUUGUGAAGCAGGUUCCCUACAAACACGAGACAAGGCCACGUAUAGUGGGUUAAGCAGAUCUGAUAUUUUAAUGGGCCAGGCCUGCCUUUUAUGCAACUUUCCUAACAAGGUUGCCACCCAGGUGGACCUUGUUGGGCACCGAAAAAUACAGUUAACUGCCGAUGGUGUACAAUCACAAUUUUAAACACUCCCAUUCAUUGCAUAAAAUUCUGCCCCUCUGCUUAGGAGAUAAUUGAGUUAAUUACUGUAUCAACUUAAUUAUCUCCAAAUGAAAAAAUUAAACUUUUUGCACAUUUCCAGAAAUACCAUAAAAACAUAUCCAAUCCCCAUAAAAUAUAUAUAUUCUAAUCGGGCAUAAUUAGGGGAACAACAUAUUAAAAAAUCAUAUGAAUCAGUUCGGGAGAUAGGUGGAAGUCCCAUUUCUGCCCGGCCGCACACAAGGCUCCUGCCCAAAAUAGUUCAAUGUAUUAAGCUGGUGCGGUCUCUUUCGUAUGUUAUAAAAUGUUGAACAACCGUUCACAUAAGUAUUCGUGAGUUUGAUGGUCGUGUGCUGCUUCAUUUGUAUAGUGUUUCUACUGAACACCGCCCACUUCGGAUGUAUUAGCACGAAUCUAAGUGGUCCUGAAAGUCUCAGCGGUGUUAGAUAGAUAGUGUCCGAAAAUAGUUCCAGACACUCGACAACCAAAUCCCGCUGGACGCGUUUGACAAAACAAGAUGGCCGCCGCCACGUGUUUAUGCACACGAAUCGACGGCCAGCCAGUGAACCACUUAAAACGUUGAAGUUGUGGUUUGGCAAAGAGUCAAAUGAGUCAAUUGGCGGCACACAACUGGCUUGGGUGGUCUCUCAUUCGACAGAUUGUUCGGUAUAAGAACAGAUUAAAUGUAGCUUGUUCGUAUCAAAAUUCUUCUGUUUAGAUCAAAUGCAGGGUAUUGUAACAAAAGUCUAACAGCAACAAUGUUGUAAAUCCAACAAUCCAGGCAAUAAACAGGGCAUAUGUUACAAUAUGUAACAGGGUUGAUGUUCCUGGAGGGAUAAGCCGAAUGGCAAAUGAUUUAGGUAAACUAGAAAAAUGGUCAGAGUUGUGGCAACUGACAUUUAAUGUGGAUAAGUUUAAGAUAAUGCAUCUUAAACGUAAAAACCCAAGGGAAGAUUACAGAAUAUUUGAUAGAGUCCUAACCUCAACAUCUGAGGAAAGGGAUUUAGGGGUGAUUAUUUCUGAUGACUUAAAGGUAGGCAGACAAUGUAAUAGAGCAGUAGGAAAUGCUAGGUUGUAUAGGGAGAGAUAUUAGCAGUAGAAAGAGGGAAGUGCCCAUGCCAUUGUACAGACAACUGGAGAGACCUCACUUGGAGUAUUGUACGCAGUACUGGAGAUCUUAUCUUCAUAAUGAUAUUGAUACCUUAGAGAGAGUUCAAAGGAGGGCUACUAAACUGGUUCAUGGAUUGCGGGAUAAAACUUACCAAGAAAGGUUAAAGGAUCUUAACAUGUACAGCUUGGAGGAAAGACAAGACAGGGGGGAUAUGAUAGAAAUAUUUAAAUACAUAAAGGGAAUCAACACCAUAAAGGAGGAGACCAUAUUUAAAAGAAGAAAAACUACCACAACAAGAGGACAUAGUCUUAAAUUAGAGGGGCAAAGGUUUAAAAAUAUCAGGAAGUAUUACUUUACUGAGAGGGUUGUGGGUGCAUGGAAUAGCCUUCCAGCUCAAGUGGUAGAGGUUAACACGGUAAAAUAGUUUAAACAUGCGUAGGAUAGGCAUAAGGCUAUCCUAACUAUAAGAUAAGGCCAGGGACUAAUGAAAAUACUUAGAAAAUUGGGCAGUCUAGAUGGGCCAAAUGGUUCUUAUCUGCCGUCCUCCCCAUGCCUGCCACUCCUAGCUGUAAAUCCCUUGAAAUAACUGUUUAUCUCUACCCCUCCUUAGGCCCAGAUCCCCAUACCAACUGCAUACAAGCAUCUUCAAUUCUACGUGGUUUAACUCACCCAUCCGCCCCUCCUCCCGCCCACCCAGGAUCCCCCUAAAUUUAUAGCAUGCUCCUCCAGCUGUUUAAAAUUCUCACUCAAUUCCCACUAUAUUUUACUAAUAGCUGCAACUAUCUGUUUAAAUUUUUUGCCAUCACUUUCACAUUUCCCCAGCUAUCUCUUGUCUCAAAUCCCCACUGCAUCCUUUAGAUUUUAACCCCUUAAGGACACAUGACAUGUGUGACAUGUCAUGAUUCCCUUUUAUUCCAGAAGUUUGGUCCUUAAGGGGUUAAGCUCACGGGCUAUGUUGUCUCUGAUCUUUAAAUCCAUGGGAUUUUAGAUGUUCAGCAAUCCUAUCCUUUAACAUGGUUUCCAUUACUUUCUCCACUAAUGAAGUAAUGCUUAUUGGCCUAUAGUUGCCCGACUCCUCCCUACUACCUUCAUUUAAUGGGCACAACAUUCGCUAAUUUCCAAUAUUCUGAGACUACUCCUGUUAAAAAUUAUUGGUUAAAUAAAUCCGUGUAAGCUCUUUUAAUAACUUUGGGUGUAUCCCAUCAGGCCCCAUCGACUAAAUUGUCUUGUCUUUUGACAGUUGAAAUAGAACCUUUUCCUCCUGUAAAAAACUAACAUGUAACAAAUAACUAAUAACUAAUUUGUAUUUUUUUUGCUAACUUUGGUCCCUUUGCUUAAUUUUUAUUUGUAAAUACCAAACACAAAUAUUCACUGAGGCAGUCAGCUUGACCUUUAUCCUCUUACACAUACCUACCUUUUUUUGAUUUUAAGCUAUCUAAUCCUUGUUUUACUUUUCUUUUCUCAUUUAUGUAUCUAAAAAAGUUGUACCCCCUUUUUUUACUGACUGUUAUAUUCUGCCUUCUGUGUGUGCUUUGGAGGUUCUUAUAACUUGCUUAGCCUCUUUUUUUGCCUAAUCUUUUAGAUCUGUCUAUCUUCCUUUUUAAAUCAUUUUUCUCAUUAUAUCAUGUCUCAUUAACAGCCACUUAAUCUACAUUCUCAGUUGCCAUUAUUGCCACAAGUUCAUAGAUCUUAUUCCCUAAACUGUGAGCAUUUGUAGAUUUAUCAACACGGUCGCCACAGUUACUGUACUUGUUUUGGGGGGCAAUUGGAUUGGUGUUUUAUCACCCUUUUGUCCCCCAUCCUAGUUGGAAUUAUUAAAUACAUCCUAGCAAAACCUCUGAACUGCUCACUGAGAACAUUUGUUCCCUUUUGAGAAAGAUGCAAGCCACCUUUUUGUACAGUUAUUUCCAUUCUAAAUUGAGCAACCAUGAGAAAUACAUUGCUUUAACAUCAGCUUUUAUUGUUAUAGUUUACAUGACCAGUUUGUUGGGUAAAGUGAUGGAAUAGAAGUGCUAUAUCACAAUUUGUCAUUAUUUUUUUCCUUUAACAUAUUGGUUUUGCUUUUCUUUCAUUAGAGUGAUUUUCUGUUUUAUCAUUGUGACGAAGUGCCCUUCGCCACUUGUGCCUGGAGAGGACUGCUUGCCCGCCUCUUGCCCUGUGACUAUGGCCCCUGGGAUGUAUUGCCCUUUAAAGACAUGAUUUGGGCAUAAUGGAUUUGUGUUGUGCUGCUGCUGGCCCUUUAAGAACCAUCUGGGGACAUACUGUGGAGUUACUGGGUGGCCACCAUUUCCUGUAUCAGAAGCACAUGGUGAGAACAAUGGAUGGUGGCCAUUUUAACUCACAGACACUGUUUGGACUUUUCAACACGGUGCCAUCUCGCCAGUAUUUGGUGCACAGAGACAUCGUGCAGUGGUUUUGGACUAUACAGCAGGGGACACAUUAUACAGUGAUUGUUUUUCAUUUAGCCUGUAUAUGUUCUGCAGAAUCUGCAUUAAACUGUAUUUUCCAAAGUACUGAACGGAUCUGGGUGAAUUUUGGAUAUGUGGUUCACCCAGAUCCCCCGGUUCCAAGGAUAUACUUUUUAUGGGGUUAUUGCAUGUUUUGGGGUCCCUGUGUGUUUUAUGAAACUGUAUUAUUUCUGGCCAGCAGAUAAUUGAGCUUUGUGUAUUGUAGAAACUCAAUUAUCUAGCCUGACCCAGAGGAGGAGUUUUGUGUUGCAUAAAUUGUGAGUUCUGUGUGCCAGUAAAUCAGUCUUGUUCCAGCAUUAAGCUUUGGCUCACGUGUGGAUUAUUCGGUGAUUCCAGGGAUAUUUCUGCUUAUGGAAUAUUGAGUGCUUUUCUUUUAUGGGAAGAAGGGAAUGCUUGACGUGGAUAUUUUCUACUACCGUCACAAUCAUUAACAGUAACUUUUUAAACACCCAUUUUAAAAUGUUGUGUUCUAUAAGGCUUAUUUAUUUACAAAGGUCUCUAAUCAUUUCAGUUUCUGAUACCUUUCCAGAAAGAGAUUCUGUACAUAUGGUGGAAGCUAGAGUGGACAUCCGUAAACUUUUGCAGUUUCUUGCUGGACAGCAAGUGAAUCCUACUAAAGCUAUAUGCAGUGAGUAUGUUAAUUUCUUUCCAUAUGUUGCAAUGA
rnacentral:lncRNA from 1 species